AGAGCGAACGCUGGCGGCAGGCCUAACACAUGCAAGUCGAGCGCCCCGCAAGGGGAGCGGCAGACGGGAGAGUAACACGUGGGAACGUACCCUUUGGUUCGGAACAACACAGGGAAACUUGUGCUAAUACCGGAUAAGCCCUUACGGGGAAAGAUUUAUUGCCAAAGGAUCGGCCCGCGUCUGAUUAGCUUGUUGGUGAGGUAACGGCUCACCAAGGCUACGAUCAGUAGCUGGUCUGAGAGGAUGAUCAGCCUCACUGGGACUGAGACACGGCCCAGACUCCUACGGGAGGCAGCAGUGGGGAAUAUUGGACAAUGGGCGCAAGCCUGAUCCAGCCAUGCCGCGUGGAUGAUGAAGGCCCUAGGGUUGUAAAACUCUUUUAGAUGUGACGAUGAUGACGGUAACAUCAGAAAAAGCUCCGGCUAACUUCGUGCCAGCAGCCGC
rnacentral:rRNA from 1 species